rnacentral:rRNA from 1 species
AACGCUGGCGGCAGGCUUAACGCAUGCAAGUCGAACGCCCGAGCAAUCGGGAGUGGCAGACGGGUGAGUAACACGUGGGAACAUACCCUUUGGUUCGGAACAACGCCGGGAAACUGGCGCUAAUACCGGAUACGCCCUUUGGGGGAAAGGCUUGCCGCCGAAGGAGUGGCCCGCGUUCGAUUAGCUAGAUGGCGGGGUAACGGCCCACCAUGGCGACGAUCGAUAGCUGGUCUGAGAGGAUGGCCAGCCACAUUGGGACUGAGACACGGCCCAAACUCCUACGGGAGGCAGCAGUGGGGAAUAUUGGACAAUGGGCGCAAGCCUGAUCCAGCCAUGCCGCGUGAGUGAUGAAGGCCUUAGGGUUGUAAAGCUCUUUCGCACGCGACGAUAAUGACGGUAGCGUGAGAAGAAGCCCCGGCUAACUUCGUGCCAGCAGCCGCGGUAAUACGAAGGGGGCUAGCGUUGUUCGGAAUCACUGGGCGUAAAGGGUGCGCAGGCGGGUUCAUAAGUCAGGGGUGAAAUCCCGAGGCUCAACCUCGGAACUGCCUUUGAUACUGUGGAUCUUGAGUCCGGAAGAGGUGAGUGGAACUGCGAGUGUAGAGGUGA